GGAAAUCAUGACUUCUGGUGGCAGCCUCAUGAUUCUGAGAUCACAGCACAUGGAUGUGGUACAGCCAGCAGAAUAUUGCAUUGCUUACAAAUUGAAGAUGUGUGGUGAUCCCGCAACAAGCCAAGUCUACCAAAGCCACUUUUCAGCAGCAUCUGCUCACUUCCUGUCUCUGUUUCAAUUAUGGUAAUUCUCACAAUAUGCCACCACACCUGGCUAAUUUUCGUAUUUUUUUGUGGAGACAGAGUUUCGCCAUGUUGCCCAGGCCAGUCCGGAACUCCUGAGUUCAAGUGAUCCACCUGCCUCGGCUUCCCAAAGUGCUGGGA
rnacentral:lncRNA from 1 species